rnacentral:tRNA from 1 species
UCCCCUGUGGUGUAAUUGGCAACACUAUGGGUUUUGGUCCCAUCAUUCCAGGUUCGAGUCCUGGCGGGGGAGC